GUAAAGAAAAGAGAGAAAGAAAGAAGAAAGGAAAAGGAAGAAGAAGAAGAAAGAAGAAAGAAGAAAGAAGAAAGAAGAAAGAAGAAAGGAAAUUAAUCAUAGAGCUUCACCGAAGCUGGGUCUUGGUAUUUUGAGCCUGGAUUAAUGACCAGCUUGCCGGGAUCUUCGAUUUGAGGAUUUGGAAGGAGUGUUGGUGAAGAUCUAGAGUAUUUGGAAGUUCUUGAGAAAAAGGAGUGAAAUUUGGGGUUUCAUUGGUGUUAUUAAGAAAGAGGUCACGCUCAUUAUACGCAUACCCACACAUCGGAUCUCUUGUGUGGCGGGUACAAGCACUGUGUACAUAUACAAGUAAGUGGGGAGUGGACUCUGAUUUAAUUUCUGAAUGUUAUGCAUCAUUUAACACGUGUUAUUCUAGCCAUGUCAUCAUGUCCCUUGUAUGUAGACUUGACAUCACAUAUGCUGUAUCAUGCAUUGAAUGUGCAUUUACAUAAUAUGCUAUGCUUUGUGUUAUGAUUGAAUAUUCAUUAUGUCUUGAUGUAUGUGAUGGAGGAAUCUCAUUUAGACAUGAUAUGCAUGCUAGAUUUAGAUGUCGUAGUCGACUUUAAAAUGAGUGCAUAGUGGCUCAUGGAAUGGGAUGCGGUGCCAUCAUGUAAUCAAACUAUGCUCAUAUAGAAGCAUGCGGCUAGGAUCUAUAUACCCCUUUGUGCUAUGACCCUUCCCAACAGGGAUUUACGUGUUGAGUUACUAUUGAGGGGAAGCAUCGGAUUGGGGUUGCCGAACUCCUGUAGCAGUUAGAAGUACGCACGGUUGAUCGUUAGGACAGUCGGUAACCCCGGUGUAUAUUCAGAGGGCCAAUCGUACUGCUUUUAUUUAUUGUGGAGUCACCAUUUACUUUCUGUUAUUUAAAUUUGUCGGGAGCCAGCUUACAUUUUAAAUUUUGGUACCAACGGUGGGCCUUUUUCGAUAACCCUAUGGGCGUAUCGCGGGAUGGGGUUCGCGGCUCAU